rnacentral:rRNA from 1 species
UACGGGGGGGGCAAGCGUUGUUCGGAAUUACUGGGCGUAAAGGGCUCGUAGGUGGCCAACUAAGUCAGACGUGAAAUCCCUCGGCUUAACCGGGGAACUGCGUCUGAUACUGGAUGGCUUGAGUUUGGGAGAGGGAUGCGGAAUUCCAGGUGUAGCGGUGAAAUGCGUAGAUAUCGGGAGGAACACCUGUGGCGAAAGCGGCGCACUGGACCAUAACUGACGCUGAGGCGCGAAGGCUAGGGGAGCAAACGGG